rnacentral:sRNA from 1 species
UAACUGUUCAACUUUUUAACUCUUUUUUUAAAGCGGACGGUUUUAACGAUUUUCUAUUUCCUCGCGAAAGCACAUGAUGUGUGAAUUCCAAUUUGUUUAUCUUCGACCACCUCUUACUUGACACGUCGCAAAGGUGAAGUUUAUUUUUAUCGCUUACUUUAUUAAGUAAACCAUACAACCAUAAAAAGUUAACAAUUUAUUGCCUUACAUCGGGAAGUUCGCAGUCUAAUUUUAGUAAUCUCCACAUCAUAAGUGUUUUUAUUUUAACAAAAUAAGUGUAAAAACUAAAUCAACUUAUAUCCUAGCCUACAAUUUUUAUUUCUUUUCGGAACAUUAUUUCUCGCAUAUCAGAUGACAAUAAGGCAUCCUCUUAUAUUGCCUUAUUCUAUACAAAGGUCAGAUCACAUUGAUGCCAUAAAAAACUACAAGGCUUGCUUUCGAUUUUCUGGUAGAAGAGGGUACUCUGGCACAGCGACAUAUUGUAAGGAGACGAUAGAACUCAUACAGAUCAAUGACCUUCGAAAACAAAUUAAAAUAAACGGCCAAGUGUACCCUGGACUAAGAAAACAAGAUGAAGGCAGAUGUAUUAUUACACAUCACAAAUUCAGGUCUGUAGCGUACUUGUAUAGUUCUUUAAUUACAGUUUAUACCUUAUUAAAAUUUAUUAAAUGAAAAAUUGUAAGUAUAAAAAAGUUAACGCAUAUUAGAAACUAGACAACCAUGUGUAAUCACGACUUGGAGCAUUAAAACAUAUAAUUCAGAAUAGUUCACGUUUAAAACUUUCCAACCGUCAAAUCUGUAUCUUUUUUUUUAAACAUUACACGAUGAGCUCUAACGGUAAUUAAUUUGGCUGCUCUAAACAGGACAGUGUCAGAGGUAAGCACUAUAAUAAGUCUGGCUAUUGUAAAUGUCUAUAUUCCAAGGACAGGAAGAAUGAGAGAAAGACUGGAAUAUAGAACAAGACUACUCAAUCUUCUUCGUUUAAAGUGCCAAAUGCUGUGCCAACAAAGAAGGUAUUUUUAUUUGCUUUAUUCAAAGCUAUAUUUGAAAGUUAGAAUAAAUAGCACUAGCCUCUAUAUGACACUUAACAUAAUUUAAAAAACAUUACAAUAGUUUUGACUAUAUGGGAAUCAAAUUGGAGCAUGUCUUUC